UGUGUAAUAAGAAUCGGCCUA
rnacentral:siRNA from 1 species